rnacentral:rRNA from 1 species
CCUACGGGGGGCAGCAGUGAGGAAUAUUGGUCAAUGGGCGAGAGCCUGAACCAGCCAAGUCGCGUGAAGGAUGACGGCCCUACGGGUUGUAAACUUCUUUUGUCAGGGAGCAAAAGGGUCCACGCGUGGGCUUAGCGAGAGUACCUGAAGAAAAGGCAUCGGCAAACUCGGUGCCAGCGGCUGCGGUAAUAGGGAGAAUGGGAGCGUUAUCCGGAUUUAUUGGGUUAAAAGGGUGCGUAGGCGGAAGAUCAAGUCAGCGGUAAAAAUUCGGGGCUAAACCCCGUCGUGCCGUUGAAACUGGUGUUCUUGAGUGGGCUAGAGGUAUGCGGAAUGCGUGGUGUAGCGGUGAAAUGCAUAGAUAUCACGCAGAACUCCGAUUGCGAAGGCAGCAUACCGGCGCCCAACUGACGCUGAAGCACGAAAGCGUGGGUAUCGAACAGGAUUAGAUACCCGGGUAGUC